rnacentral:ncRNA from 1 species
AACGACCGGUCGGACACCUGCGUGCCAACGCGGGAUCCGGCCCACAAGUGGAGGCUCCGAUCUCCCACCUGGCCGCUCCCCGGAGCGGCGGGUCACCGGUCAGGCGGACGCCGCGCAAUGCGCGAUGGACCGCCCGAUGCGCCCCGCGGUCACCGCGGAGGUGCUCCGGUAGGUAUGUGGAGCCCCUCCUGUGAUCGGUCCGGGGCAUUUUUU